UAAAAUUCUCUUCCCAUACUGCAUUACACAUGGCCCAAAUAACAUGGAACGAGCAAACCUUAUAACAUGAUGGAUUAAAAUGCUACGAUGGAUUAAAAUGCUGAUAACGGCUUCCCAUUUCAUCACUCUUUGGAUCCUUUCAGAAGAACCCCCACCGACUCUUUAGCUUAGAGUUAAUUUAGUUGAAUUGAGUAUAAAGUGGACUUUUCAGCAUUUAAUUGUGUUCUCUAUUUCGUUUUGAAAAUUUACAAAUUAAAACAAAGGCAUUA
rnacentral:misc_RNA from 1 species